CCUACGGGUGGCUGCAGUGGGGAAUAUUGGACAAUGGGGGCAACCCUGAUCCAGCCAUGCCGCGUGUGUGAAGAAGGCCCUCGGGUUGUAAAGCACUAUCAGUGAGGAAGAACGCCUGGUGGUUAAUACCCAUCAGGAAAGACAUCACUCACAGAAGAAGCACCGGCUAACUCCGUGCCAGCAGCCGCGGUAAUACGGAGGGUGCGAGCGUUAAUCGGAAUUACUGGGCGUAAAGCGCGCGUAGGUGGCUUGAUAAGCCGGUUGUGAAAGCCCCGGGCUCAACCUGGGAACGGCAUCCGGAACUGUCAAGCUAGAGUGCAGGAGAGGAAGGUAGAAUUCCCGGUGUAGCGGUGAAAUGCGUAGAGAUCGGGAGGAAUACCAGUGGCGAAGGCGGCCUUCUGGACUGACACUGACACUGAGGUGCGAAAGCGUGGGUAGCAAACAGGAUUAGAUACCUUUGUAGUC
rnacentral:rRNA from 1 species